GUCAACUAUACAUAUGAUAUAAUACAGGAUGUUUUGGAAUGGAAUGUAAGUUUAUUAAAAAAUAUAUAAAUUUUUAAAAAUGUUUGCCAUAGAAUAAGAGAGGCCUCCAUAAUUCAAAUAUUUUUUUCUCAAAAAAAUAGAAUUAUUGGAUACUGUGAAGAGAUAUUUUACAUUUUAUGAGAAGAAUAUUUUUGUCAUUUUUCAUAUUUUAUGAAGAGAUUCUAGGAAGAUCAGAGUCCGCCAUUAUUUAGCUCACCAACAACAUAACCAAUAGCCCAUGCAUGAAGAUGGACCGAGCCAUUUGGGCUGAGGUUUCAAUGUAGAUCCAAUAGUGCAAUGGCCUCUGUUUAAUUUAUUAAUAGAGGGCCAACACAAAGCAUUGGGCUCUGAAGAAAAAAACACGAAAAUAGAGCUCGCACCCAAAGAUCCAUCCUUCCAGAGGCAGAACAAAGGGGCCUCAGUAAACCAACCUUAGCACAACCUCAGUGAUUGCGGGAGAGUCGGCCAACAGAGUUCGCACGGCUUCAUCGCCUUUGAGGAUCAGGUAGCCAUCAAACGUGCCGACUAUGGGAUCACUGAGGUGUUAGUCCUCACACCAACACAAUAACCUCCCGCAUACUACAAACAAAUAGCCAUGAGAGUUUCUACCAAAGUAGCUUCUUAAAACAGAUCUCAUAUAAGCCCACUCAUGCAAGCACAAACUGCAAAACACUAAAAGAAAAAAAUCUACAAUCCAAGAGGAGGGUGAAACCCACUAUUCUGAGCCGAGAGGAUCUUCCUCCGUCUGGAGAGGCAAAGGAAGGCCUACGGCGAGAACAGGACUCUAGAUUCAAUAACGGAUGUUGGUUUGGAACUUAUAGACGCAUCGCAACAUGGUUGUUCAGCCAGGGGCUCGACAAGUUGUUCAUGGUGCUAAAGUCCAGUUACAAGCCUGGAAGGAAGCUCGUCAGGCCUCGGUUUUGCACUCAGGUUCAGCAUCGUCCUCCUAUAUUGUCAAAUGGUGCCCCCGUGCGGCUUCACAUUUUAAGUACAAAGUUGAUGCUCCGGUAGAUAUAGAGGGCGGAAGUGAUCUGGUUUUGGCUGGAUAAUACGUCACCGUCAUCGAAUUUCCAUUGUUGGAUGUUGAUCUGGCCGAAAUCUUAUGCUUUCAGGAGGCUUUGAGCUGGUUGAAGAACAAGGCCUGCUUCAAUAUUUGUUGUAUAGAGGUAGAUUCUCUUUGCUCGGUUCAAGCUCUUCGGUUUACUAGCUUUACUCUGUCGUAUUAUGGUCAACUAGUUGAAAGCGUGAA
rnacentral:misc_RNA from 1 species